GCCGGGCAUGGUGGUGUGUGCCUGUAAUCCUAGCUACUCGGGAGGCUGAAGCAGGAGAAUAGCUUGAACCCGGGAGGCAGAGGUUGCAGUGAGCCGAGAUCAUGCCACUGCACUCCAGCCUGGGCGACAGAGUGAGACUCUGUCUCAAAAGGCAAAAAAAAAAAAAAUUGAAACUCAUAUUAAAAGUUUCUUUUUCUUUCUUUCUUUUCUUUUCUUUUCUUUUUUUUUUUUUUUUGAGGCAGAGUCUUACUCUUGUCGCCCACACUGGAAUGCAGUGGCUCAAUCUCAGCUCACUGCAACCUUUGCCUCCCGGGUUCAAGUGAUUAUCCUGCCUCA
rnacentral:sRNA from 1 species